UACGUAGGGUGCGAGCGUUGUCCGGAAUUAUUGGGCGUAAAGAGCGUGUAGGUGGCCAGGUAGGUCUGCUGUGAAAACUCGAGGCUUAACCUCGAGCUGUCGGCGGAAACCAUCUGGCUAGAGUCCGGAAGAGGAGAAUGGAAUUCCCGGUGUAGCGGUGAAAUGCGCAGAUAUCGGGAAGAACACCCGUGGCGAAGGCGGUUCUCUGGGACGGUACUGACGCUGAGACGCGAAAGCGUGGGGAGCGAACAGG
rnacentral:rRNA from 1 species